GCGUUCCAUUAAUUAGUAUUGAGCUUUUAAGAUUGUUGGUUUUCUUUUGCGGACACUUCGAGGUUGAUAGGAUAUUUCGUACAUUCUUUGAGGAUACUAGAAAAGGAUGCCUCAUGGGAUGAAGAACGACAUACCAAGUGACGAGGAGGUCAUGACUGAUACUAUAAAGGUCAAAGUAUCUGAGUUUGCAAGAAGUGGAUUAAUUGAGAAGAAAAUCAAAUGAAAGUGAAAAGGCAAGAAAAUCAAAUGAAAGUGUCGAGGAGGUCACGACUGAUGCUAUAAAGGUCAAAGGAACGAUGCCGAGCUACUUAAUUAAUUAUGUUGUGUGUGUGUGUGUGUUUUUUUUUUUUCAAUUUAUUUAAAUUAUUAAUGGGUAUUGUGUAAUUGUAGUAUACAUGGAAAAACUGUUAUAAUUAUUUGUAAGUAAUAAAUUUUGAUGAUGCCAAUUAAAAUGUAGUAAGAAAUGAUAUAUACUACUUCCCAAA